rnacentral:rRNA from 1 species
ACUCCUACGGGAGGCAGCAGUGAGGAAUAUUGGACAAUGGAUGGAAAUCUGAUCCAGCCAUGCCGCGUGCAGGAAGACAGCCCUAUGGGUUGUAAACUGCUUUUAUAUGGGAGCAAUAAGGUCUACGUGUAGACUGAUGAGAGUACCAUAUGAAUAAGCAUCGGCUAACUCCGUGCCAGCAGCCGCGGUAAUACGGAGGAUGCGAGCGUUAUCCGGAUUUAUUGGGUUUAAAGGGUGCGUAGGCGGCCGAGUAAGUCAGCGGUGAAAUUUUGCAGCUUAACUGUAACAGUGCCGUUGAUACUGCAUGGCUAGGAUUUGGUUGCUGUGGGUGGAAUGUGUGGUGUAGCGGUGAAAUGCUUAGAUAUCACACAGAAUAUCAAUUGCGAAGGCAGCUCACAAAGCCAAGAUUGACGCUGAGGCACGAAAGUGUGGGGAUCAAACAGGAUUAGAUACCCUGGUAGUC